rnacentral:rRNA from 1 species
UACGUAGGUGGCAAGCGUUGUCCGGAUUUACUGGGCGUAAAGAGCGCGCAGGCGGUCGUUCAAGUCGCGUGUGAAAGCCCCCGGCUCAACUGGGGAGGGUCACGCGAUACUGAUCGACUCGAAGGCAGGAGAGGGAAGGUGGAAUUCCCGGUGUAGUGGUGAAAUGCGUAGAUAUCGAGAGGAACACCAGUGCGAAGGCGGCUCACUGGGCUCUACCUGACGCUGAGGCGCGAAAGCGUGGGAGCGAACCGG